ACUUCCUAAGCCGGAACGAAAAGUCUCUUUGUAGCGAUACGCUGAAACUUUUGGCUUUGUGGUUGUGAUGUUGUGUUUGCAAGUUGUCUGGGCCAACCAGACUUUGUAGCUUAAGCUACUGUUUUUUUCACUUCCUGUA
rnacentral:ncRNA from 3 species